rnacentral:rRNA from 1 species
AUGACAUGGCUUGCAGCGAGAAUUGUGGAGCAUCUCGCUAGCGACCUCAACCUUGCUCACUUUCCAGGAACAUUGGAUUGUAUAUCCUCCCUCCUCCACCACAAAACUCUCCAUUUACCGUUUGUAACUGGGCAAAGGGGUGGUGGUGAAGGAAUUGAUAAGGAUCUGCUUUUGCCGGGCUUGAGAAUUCUAGAGAACCUGGCACACGACACACAUAACUGCACACUGAUAUACAACUCCAGGGGUCUUCUUUCAAAAAUUGUUGCGCCUGUCAGCUCCAACGAAUUUGUAGAAGAUACCAAGAGCAGCACUUCAUGGACCAAGGUAGUUGAGGGAUCACUCAAAGUGGUGAGCCGGCUCAUGGGUUCUUCAGGAAGCACUGGCAUAAAGAUGCGCAGACUAAUUGCGAACAAUAGUAAUGCAGUCAAAAACUUGGAGGCCAUUCUGGAAAUGGAUAUGAAGAGCAACAGUGGUAUCAUAGAGCUACAGAUGCGAGCUCUAGAGGUUCUUACACAACUAGCCUUGUAUCAUCCAACAAGUGCUCCUUCUGUGAUGAGAAGAGAAAAACUUAUUGAGAGGGCGCUACACAUCUUCCUUACUGCAGAUUGGAUGGAAGAUUAUUUGAAAGAUGUAAAAAAGAAGAUUGACAAACCAACUCCAAGCCAAAAAAAUACUUCAGCAAGACCGUCAAUGGGAACAUUUAAUAAGCUCUUUAAAAAGGUCAUCAAAGAGAAGACGGCCAAACAAGUGAGAGAAGAGAAGAUGAAAGAAGCUCAGGGAACUGCAGGCCGGCUUAAAGAAAAGGCUGGUGAAGCAUUGGCCAUGCUGUCCAGUGAUUCAGAGGCUAUCAAGAGCUUCACAGGAUGCGAUGAUGAUAUCAAUCGUCUUACUGAAUUGCUCGACUGCAAUAUCAGGACCAUUAAAUGCAAAAUAAGUACAACGGAUACUGUGGAAAUAGAUAUCAACACAGGCUGUCGUAUUAGCGCAGGAGUCAUCUUGAAGAAUUUGAGCAACUACGUCAAUGUACCAACCUUACGGAAGGUAUUCAAACAAUUGCUUUCAGUAGAACAAGACGAGCCUUUUACUUCAGGAUGCCCCAACGAGCAGUGUGGGGAUAGGAGUCUGCAGGUGGAGCUGUUAUCACUCGUCACAGCGAUUCGUGCAAACACCAAUCUUAAUCUUCGAGAAACCUUACUUUCGCAGACGCCGCGGGAUACCCUGGAAGACUUUGUGGUGAGGCUGAAGAAGAUGGUGGAGGACAACAUGUAUGCCACCCCUGCAUGCCUGGCGAUACAAAAGCUUACUUGUGAGCUGGUUAUAGAAUUCAUCAAGGAUGAUCAAAACGUCGAAAUGAUCGACAGACACAAUAUCGUUGCCACAUUACUGGAGGCUUCAGAGGUGAUGGACUGUCUUGAGAGCGACAUGCUUUUCGCUGGUGUCGAUCAUGACUGCUAUGGGGUUCCUCUGAAGCCUCUUUCUUCUGUUCUUGCUAAAAAUGCCGAAGAUCUUUUGACACAGAGGAGACAGGCUCUGGGUAUCACUAUCAACAUUGGGCCUGCCAGUGCACCAAUACCGUGA